AGAAAAAGGCAAACCUAUUGAAAAAUAGGGACGCAAAGUCACGGGUCUAAGGUUGGAGAUUAUCAAUUAUGACGGCUGGAUUGCC
rnacentral:ncRNA from 1 species